rfam:Myotis davidii contig81060, whole genome shotgun sequence.
GGCUGGAUAGCUCAGUUGGUUAGAGCAUCGUCCCAAUAAGCCAAGGUUCUGGGUUCAAUCCCCGGUCAGGCCA